GCGGCGAGUAAAAUGGUGCACCAAGAUGAUAUGUCCUGACUCAACGUGUUUAAAUAAGAAUCAUGAUUAGUCCUUCGACAUAUUUUUUAGAUCAAUGGCCGCAGUCUGAUUUCUCCCUUGAUGCAGAAGUUUGGGGCCAACAGAAGUCCCUACCAUUAGAUAGAGGGUGUCGGCCAGAGGGGGUUGGUCAGUUUGCCUGGACU
rnacentral:lncRNA from 1 species